AUUGAACGCUGGCGGCAUGCCUUACACAUGCAAGUCGAACGGCAGCACGGGAGCAAUCCUGGUGGCGAGUGGCGAACGGGUGAGUAAUAUAUCGGAACGUGCCCAGUAGUGGGGAUAACUGCUCGAAAGAGCAGCUAAUACCGCAUACGACCUGAGGGUGAAAGGGGGGGAUCGCAAGACCUCUCGCUAUUGGAGCGGCCGAUAUCAGAUUAGCUAGUUGGUGGGGCAAAGGCCUACCAAGGCAACGAUCUGUAGUUGGUCGGAGAGGACGACGAGCCAGACUGGGACUGAGACACGGCCCAGACUCCUACGGGAGGCAGCAGUGGGGAAUUUUGGACAAUGGGCGCAAGCCUGAUCCAGCAAUGCCGCGUGCAGGAAGAAGGCCUUCGGGUUGUAAACUGCUUUUGUCAGGGAAGAAAUCCUCUAGGUUAAUACCCUUGGGGGGAUGACGGUACCUGAAGAAUAAGCACCGGCUAACUACGUGCCAGCCGCCGCGGUAACAC
rnacentral:rRNA from 1 species